rnacentral:rRNA from 1 species
UACGAAGGGGGCUAGCGUUGCUCGGAAUGACUGGGCGUAAAGGGCGCGUAGGCGGCGCAGUUAGUCAGGCGUGAAAUUCCUGGGCUCAACCUGGGGACUGCGCUUGAUACGGCUGUGCUUGAGGAUGGAAGAGGCUCGCGGAAUUCCCAGUGUAGAGGUGAAAUUCGUAGAUAUUGGGAAGAACACCGGUGGCGAAGGCGGCGAGCUGGUCCAUUACUGACGCUGAGGCGCGACAGCGGUGGGGAGCAAACAGG